GGUUAAGUGACUAAGCGUACACGGUGGAUGCCUAGGCAGUCAGAGGCGAUGAAGGGCGUGCUAAUCUGCGAAAAGUGUCGGUAAGGUGAUAUGAACCGUUAUAACCGGCAAUACCCGAAUGGGGAAACCCAGUGUGUUUCGACACACUAUCGUAUGGUGAAUACAUAGCCAUACGAGGCGAACCGGGGGAACUGAAACAUCUAAGUACCCCGAGGAAAAGAAAUCAACCGAGAUUCCCCUAGUAGCGGCGAGCGAACGGGGAACAGCCCAGAACCUGAAUCAGUUCUUGUGUUAGUGGAAGCGUCUGGAAAGUCGCGCAGCAAAGGGUGAUAGCCCCGUACACUAAAAUGCAUUAAUUGUGAGUUCGAUGAGUAGGGCGGGACACGUGACAUCCUGUCUGAAUAUGGGGGGACCAUCCUCCAAGGCUAAAUACUCCUGACUGACCGAUAGUGAACCAGUACCGUGAGGGAAAGGCGAAAAGAACCCCGGCGAGGGGAGUGAAAUAGAACCUGAAACCGUGUACGUACAAGCAGUGGGAGCACCUUCGUGGUGUGACUGCGUACCUUUUGUAUAAUGGGUCAGCGACUUAUAUUUUGUAGCAAGGUUAACCGUAUAGGGGAGCCGUAGGGAAACCGAGUCUUAACUGGGCGAAUAGUUGCAAGGUAUAGACCCGAAACCCGGUGAUCUAGCCAUGGGCAGGUUGAAGGUUGGGUAACACUAACUGGAGGACCGAACCGACUAAUGUUGAAAAAUUAGCGGAUGACUUGUGGCUGGGGGUGAAAGGCCAAUCAAACCGGGAGAUAGCUGGUUCUCCCCGAAAGCUAUUUAGGUAGCGCCUCGUGAACUCAUCUUCGGGGGUAGAGCACUGUUUCGGCUAGGGGGCCAUCCCGGCUUACCAAACCGAUGCAAACUCCGAAUACCGAAGAAUGUUAUCACGGGAGACACACGGCGGGUGCUAACGUCCGUCGUGAAGAGGGAAACAACCCAGACCGCCAGCUAAGGUCCCAAAGUCAUGGUUAAGUGGGAAACGAUGUGGGAAGGCAUAGACAGCCAGGAUGUUGGCUUAGAAGCAGCCAUCAUUUAAAGAAAGCGUAAUAGCUCACUGGUCGAGUCGGCCUGCGCGGAAGAUGUAACGGGGCUAAACCAUGCACCGAAGCUGCGGCAGCGACGCUUAGGCGUUGUUGGGUAGGGGAGCGUUCUGUAAGCCGUUGAAGGUGAACUGUGAGGUUUGCUGGAGGUAUCAGAAGUGCGAAUGCUGACAUAAGUAACGAUAAAGCGGGUGAAAAACCCGCUCGCCGGAAGACCAAGGGUUCCUGUCCAACGUUAAUCGGGGCAGGGUGAGUCGACCCCUAAGGCGAGGCCGAAAGGCGUAGUCGAUGGGAAACAGGUUAAUAUUCCUGUACUCGGUGUUACUGCGAAGGGGGGACGGAGAAGGCUAGGCUAGCCGGGCGACGGUUGUCCCGGUUUAAGCGUGUAGGGGGGUGUUCCUGGUAAAUCCGGAACGCUAUCAACCCUGAGGCGUGAUGACGAUGCAC
rnacentral:rRNA from 1 species